rnacentral:lncRNA from 1 species
CGAUCAUCCGAAUGCUUUUCUUUCUAACUCGUGACACAUUAAAAUUUGGCAUGUUCAGAUGUUCCCAGCGUUUUCUCUUCUUUCACCUCAUGUUUCUACGCCUCCCUGCAUGUAUGGAAAGCAAUCGCUCUUUUUUCGUCCCCUCACGAGAACGUUGAUGCUGUAAUGGAAAUUUCAUCUGCAUGUGUAACGGCUUCUUCACAGCUUGUUGAAUAGAAACUUUUCUGCGAUCCAUAUCGCCCGUGUCCAUGGCCAGCAUUCUUGUGAGCUCUUGUCAACGCCUGUGCCAACAGCUAUUCACACACACGCGUGUCGUGCCCAGGCUCCAGAUAGUCUUCUCUGGAAUCCAGGUUCGAUUCUAUAGUUGACGUCUCUUUCAUGCUCUUGGCAAGCGCAAGCAUGAUGCCUCCAAGCAAUGUCUCUUGUUGUCCUGGACGAACGAGCAAGGACAGAACGGGAGCGACAGCUGUGUUCCACAACAAAAGCCCAAGGCGAGUGUCCCUGCAAGUCAACCACAAAUUGCGUUAUCAUUACGCACGUCUUCUUCUUUUCCCAUAUGCUUUUAUCCCCCUAGUAGUUCUCUUUUUUCUCAUGUCUGACGACCUCUACGUAAGGAGGACGUCCGUGGCUGUGGCAGCCUCCCAGGAACUUAGAGCCACUGUCAAUACUCAGGAAGGUGACAGCGCGACAUUGGGACCGACCACAUCGCGAAGAAGACAACCUCCUUCGUCAACUGUAGACAUAUUAGCCAAUCUUCGUAAAAAUAGGAAGUUAGCGGCGACAUCCCUCAUGGCUCUGGCUGCAGCCGGCGCUGUUGUUGUCACCUUACUGACUAUGAGA